AGCUGUUUUCUCAUUUAACUUUUAUUUGUGCAAAGCAGUAAAUUUACAGCCAAAGUCAUUUCUGUGUCGCUGCAGUUCACCUGAAACCUUUAAGUAUGCUCGUAGGUGGGGCUGCUCUUCACACAAAACAACAUCGUUGUAUAAAAAAGGUGGAUUGAAUCAACACAAAGUACAUUCACAGUAACAACAGUAAUGUAAAAGGUUUUCAUUAGUUAUAGUUAAGUAAUGUUUUCUAUAUAGUUUAGUGAACAGUGCCAAAAAGAAACAGAAACAGGAGUGAAGGUUUUUGUUCCCCUGCAAGGGUUUAAUUACAGUUGGAUUAGAAGAACCAAUUAAAGACUCAUUUUAGUUCCUUUGGUCCAAAAUGUGCAUAAAACCUAAAGUAACGAGUACAGAAUGUUAAAUACUUGUAAGUUGUGAUGUUGGUUUUUUCAAUAUGGAAUGUAAGAACACACAAAACAUCACAAUACUGAGAGACAGCAUGUACAGCAAUGAAAGGUCAGGGCAAAUUUCAACAAAUUAAAGACAACUUCAAGUAAAGACGGAGUACAAGAAAUGAUCGAGAAAACAGAAAAACAAGUACUGUAACGCUUUGAAUUUGAAUAUUUAUCGAGUAUAAUCCACUGCUCGCAGACCUUAAGUCUCAUUGUAUCAAAAUUUCACUACACCUAAAAAAAAGAAAAUAUAGUAACUGUACAAAAGUACACCUGCAUGUAAAAUAAAGUCACAGUUCGUCACCUCCUAAAACUGUCCUCAAAAGUGCCACAGUAGACAUUCAAACACCUCUGCAUGCUUCUGCUGUCAAAUGUUUAGUGUAGAGAAAAGUUCAGCUUCCCCAUCAACAGGUUCCCUCCACUGGGAAACGCAGCAUUCGCCAGGGUCCCAUUUUCAGUUUGGCUGCUUCCACAGCGCCUUUGUGGUAGCUGUACGACUUUAUUUGUAGCAGCACGAUCACAUUUUUCAAAUCUGGGGUCAAAGUAGGAUCUAACAGAAGAAUCCUUGGGUCACAUUUUGGACUGGCUUUUGGUAAACGCCCACAUCCGAACAGAGAUUUUACAAUCAUGGACAAUCACACACUUACUGAUGCUGCUUAUAGUCUAGUUAACAAGGUCAUAAAGGACAGCCAUCGACCCCAACCACCAAGUCCCUUUCGACCAGUCUAGGGUUAGCUUUUGCUUUGGGCACAACUAAUCCUCAGUGAUGAUCUGAAACCUCGCUUGUGUUUAACUUUAAACUGUUGUCCAAAGUGUUGGGAUUCAGGGAAGCGAGAAUAAUCAUUUUAACUGACAUGCAUUAAAAACUAUUUCCAUUUUUUUCCUAUUGCUUUUCUCCAAAACAAGAGUGAGGAUUCAUACCGAGGGCUGGAGUCACCACCACCGCCAAUGACACCUCCUUUACAUUUUCAGAAACCAGAUUUAGAUCAGGUCUCAUACAUUUUAGGAUUGAAAGCUAUAAACCUGUUAGAAGGAUUGUCUUUCUACAAAAAGGUCAAAGUCUACAGCGGGGUGGGCUUUGAUUAAACCCAACGCUGACGCCUAAGCCUAGACGGGUGGCCAACGACCUGAUGAUGUUAAAAGGUUAAUAAAGUCGAUAUACUAAGAGUUGGUAACGAGGUCGAAAACGAUGUCAGCAGGAGUCCUUGUGUUACAUUAAUAGUGUAUAUUGAUUUUUUUUAAUGGAAAGCUUUGUUGUCAUUGUCAGUCUAGCAGGCACUGCUAUGCCCAUGGUACCAAUUACAGUAUGAAGAGGUACAGAAAUAACAGGAAGAUCAUUUUUCACAAUGUCAUUUAAAGGCAUGAAAAAUGAUGCCCCACCACUGAUUGGUAUGCAAUAGCAAAAUACUGCAAUGAUGCAAUUACAACUAAUCAGGGUGAGGUAGAACUUGGCUGGUCUCAGGAUGUCUGCAUGAUCUCUUUGUGCCACGUCUCUAUAUCAAACCUCUAUAUCACCACCUAAAAGUAGCACCUCAGAGGGAAGCUUGACAUACACAGGACAGUGUUUGUCUGCUGCACUGCUGCAUUUCUACCCUCACUCAAGCAGACAGUGGCCAUAAUGUGCGCUUGGACGUGACUCACAUCAGUGACUCAGCUCUUGGAAAC
ensembl:lncRNA